CCUACGGGAGGCAGCAGUAGGGAAUUUUCGUCAAUGGGCGCAAGCCUGAACGAGCAAUGCCGCGUGAACGAGGAAGGUCUUCGGAUCGUAAAGUUCUGUUGAAGGGGAAAAAGAGCGGAGAGAGGAAAUGGUCUCCGAUUGAUAUUACCCUUCGAUGAAGUCACGGCUAACUACGUGCCAGCAGCCGCGGUAAUACGUAGGUGGCGAGCGUUAUCCGGAAUGAUUGGGCGUAAAGGGUGCGUAGGCGGCCUGCUAAGUCUGGAGUGAAAGGUACCGGCUCAACCGGUAUAGGCUCUGGAAACGGGCGGGCUAGAGAGCAGGAGAGGGCGGUGGAACUCCAUGUGUAGCGGUAAAAUGCGUAGAUAUAUGGAAGAACACCAGUGGCGAAGGCGGCCGCCUGGCCUGUUACUGACGCUGAGGCACGAAAGCGUGGGGAGCAAAUAGGAUUAGAUACCCCAGUAGUC
rnacentral:rRNA from 1 species